ACGAGUUUUAAUUGUUAGGUUAGAGUUGAGCUGGUUAAUCUAAUUAAUAUGUGCUUACUCUAAUCGAAACAAGUCCACUCAUUACCUUAACACCUGUGAACUUAUUCAUUACAAACAUUAUUAUUUGUUAUUGGAACGUUUGAUUAUUAUAAAGUUAAUA
rnacentral:misc_RNA from 1 species